AACGAACGCUGGCGGCAUGCCUAACACAUGCAAGUCGAACGAGACCUUCGGGUCUAGUGGCGCACGGGUGCGUAACGCGUGGGAACCUGCCCUUAGGUUCGGAAUAACUCCCCGAAAGGGGUGCUAAUACCGGAUAAUGUCUUCGGACCAAAGAUUUAUCGCCUUUGGAUGGGCCCGCGUUGGAUUAGCUAGUUGGUAGGGUAAAAGCCUACCAAGGCCACGAUCCAUAGCUGGUCUGAGAGGAUGAUCAGCCACACUGGGACUGAGACACGGCCCAGACUCCUACGGGAGGCAGCAGUGGGGAAUAUUGGACAAUGGGCGAAAGCCUGAUCCAGCAAUGCCGCGUGAGUGAUGAAGGCCUUAGGGUUGUAAAGCUCUUUUACCCGGGAUGAUAAUGACAGUACCGGGAGAAUAAGCUCCGGCUAACUCCGUG
rnacentral:rRNA from 1 species